GGACGUGAGGGCCACAUCUGUCAUCCCAUUGAUGGCCAGGGCGGAUUUGGCUGAUCUGGCCGGGUGGGUGGCUGUCCCCUCCUCCCUCACAGCUGUCUGUGUUUCCCUCCCGAAGCUGCACACUUGGCCCCAGAGGACAAACUGCCCUGAUAGAGAAGUUCUUUACGGGAGUAGCUGAGCUCUCGACAAGCUCUCAAGAAACAAGGGGCUGGAGAUUGGGCUACGCUGU
rnacentral:sRNA from 1 species